AGAGUUUGAUCCUGGCUCAGAUUGAACGCUGGCGGCAUGCCUUACACAUGCAAGUCGAACGGUAACAGGUCCUCGGAUGCUGACGAGUGGCGAACGGGUGAGUAAUACAUCGGAACGUGCCCGAUCGUGGGGGAUAACGGAGCGAAAGCUUUGCUAAUACCGCAUACGAUCUACGGAUGAAAGCAGGGGACCGCAAGGCCUUGCGCGGACGGAGCGGCCGAUGGCAGAUUAGGUAGUUGGUGGGAUAAAAGCUUACCAAGCCGACGAUCUGUAGCUGGUCUGAGAGGACGACCAGCCACACUGGGACUGAGACACGGCCCAGACUCCUACGGGAGGCAGCAGUGGGGAAUUUUGGACAAUGGGCGAAAGCCUGAUCCAGCCAUGCCGCGUGCAGGAUGAAGGCCUUCGGG
rnacentral:rRNA from 1 species